rnacentral:tRNA from 2 species
AGCUUUGUAGUUUAUUUGAAAAUAUCUACUUGUGGUGUGGAUGAAAGUGAGGCUU